UCUUUUUCCUUGUCCCCAUAAUUCACAAAAAACAGAAAGGUGGGGUUCAAAAUUGAAAGUUCAUAAUAUUCAAACUGGUAUGCACUAUUGCACUGAGGAUUUGCCUCUCAAAAUAUUUUUCGUUGUGAGUUUUGUGGUGUCCAGCUCUCACGCCUGAGGUUGGACAGAUAAAAUGACGAUGUAUGCGGAAGGUGUCAUUUGAGUUUUGACUUCAAACUUGCAAAAAAAUUAUCAGAAUAUUUUUCGAUGAGAAUUCUCCGAUAUUCAAAUUAGGAGAUAGAAAAUAAUGAAAAAAAA
rnacentral:lncRNA from 1 species